CACAGAGGGGGCAAGCGUUAUUCGGAAUUAUUGGGCGUAAAGGGCGCGUAGGCGGCUUUGCAAGUGACGGGUGAAAGCCCUCGGCUUAACCGAGGAACUGCCUGUCAGACUGUGAGGCUUGAGACCGGGAGAGGUGAGUGGAAUUCCCAGUGUAGCGGUGAAAUGCGUAGAUAUUGGGAGGAACACCAGUGGCGAAGGCGGCUCACUGGACCGGAACUGACGCUGAGGCGCGAAAGCGUGGGGAGCAAACAGG
rnacentral:rRNA from 1 species